AGAAUGAGCACUGUGUUUAUCCAGAAUGAGUACAUGAUGAAAGAAAACAAGACCAGACUGAUGGAAUUGUUUGUCAGCUCUUGCUUGGAUUCCGUGAACCAUCUUAGCAUCAUUCUACACAUAAUCAGAGUUAAGAUUUUUGGGAGCAAAGACAAAAUAAUGUGAAGACAGACUGUGAGACACUGACUUUGCUCUGCCUACCAGGAUGUGGAGGUUAAGAUUUAAAGUAAACAAUUCUUUGCUUUGGGUAAUUGCAAACUUCAACAACAUGACUAACCAUGAUUUUGGUUUUGCUCUUGUUUUUGUUUUUUUAAUUCCAAAUUCCAAACAUGUGAUUUAGGAAAAGAUGAUUUAAAUGCUUAAUUGUAUUAUUUCUUUCUUAAAAUUACCUAUUAAUGUACAAUUCAUGCUUAAGGGAAAAUAAAAAUGUCACAGUGUUUUCAAUA